GAUGAACGCUAGCGGCAGGCUUAAUACAUGCAAGUCGUGGGGCAGCAUGAGUAGCAAUACUUGAUGGCGACCGGCAAACGGGUGCGGAACACGUACACAACCUUCCGAUAAGUGGGGAAUAGCCCAGAGAAAUUUGGAUUAAUACCCCGUAACAUAUAGAGUAGGCAUCUUCUUUAUAUUAUAGCUUCGGCGCUUAUUGAUGGGUGUGUGUCUGAUUAGGUAGUUGGCGGGGUAACGGCCCACCAAGCCUACGAUCAGUAGCUGAUGUGAGGGCAUGAUCAGCCACGCGGGCACUGAGGCACGGGCCCGACUCCUACAGGAGGCAGCAGUAAGUAAUAUUCGACAAUGGUCGAAAGCCUGAUCCAGCCAUGCCGCGUGAAGGAUUAAGGUCCUCUGGAUUGUAAACUUCUUUUAUUUGGGACGAAAAAAGGGAAUUCUUUCCCACUUGACGGUACCAAGUGAAUAAGCACCGGCUAACUCCGUGCCAGCCGCCGCCGUAA
rnacentral:rRNA from 1 species